rnacentral:rRNA from 1 species
GGAUUAGAUACCCUGGUAGUCCACGCUGUAAACGAUGUCAACUAGCCGUUGGAAGGGUAAUCCUUUUAGUGGCGCAGCUAACGCACUAAGUUGACCGCCUGGGGAGUACGGUCGCAAGAUUAAAACUCAAAUGAAUUGACGGGGGCCCGCACAAGCGGUGGAGCAUGUGGUUUAAUUCGACGCAACGCGAAGAACCUUACCUACUCUUGACAUCCUCGGAACUUUCCAGAGAUGGAUUGGUGCCUUCGGGAACCGAGUGACAGGUGCUGCAUGGCUGUCGUCAGCUCGUGCCG